rnacentral:rRNA from 1 species
UAGCGUAUAUUAAAGUUGUUGCGGUAAAAAAGCUCGUAGUUGGAUUUCUGUUGAGAGAAAACGGUCCAUACCACGUAUGCGUAUCUGUCUUUCUCUCGGCAUCUUCUCGGACGUCGGUACUGCGCUUGAUUGCGUGGUCUGGAUCUCGGGACUUUUACUUUGAGGAAAUUAGAGUGUUCACGGCAGGCUAUCGCCAGAAUACAUUAGCAUGGAAUAAUACUAUAGGAUCUUGGUUCUAUUUUGUUGGUUUCUAGAAUUAAGAUAAUGAUUAAUAGGGACAAUUGGGGGCAUUCGUAUCAACACGUC